UCCUGGUUAACCCAGGCAGUCUCCUUAGAGUGCCCAACUUAAUGCUGGCAACUAAGAAUAGGGGUUGCGCUCGUUGCGAGACUUAACCCAACAUUUCACAACACGAGCUGACGACAGCCAUGCAGCACCUCUCAUCUCAUUCUCCGAAGAGCACUCCCGCAUCUCUGCAGGAUUCGAGAGAGUUCAAGCCUAGGUAAGGUUCUGCGCGUUGCUUCGAAUUAAACCACAUAAUCCACCGCUUGUGCGGGCCCCCGUCAAUUCCUUUGAGUUUUAAUCUUGCGACCGUACUCCCCAGGCGGUGCACUUAACGCGUUAGCUACGCCACUGAGGGAGUCAAUACCCCCAAUAGCUAGUGCACAUUGUUUACAGCGUGGACUAC
rnacentral:misc_RNA from 1 species